UACGUAGGGACCAAGCGUUGUUCGGAUUUACUGGGCGUAAAGGGCGCGUAGGCGGCAAUUCAAGUCAGUUGUGAAAUCUCCGAGCUUAACUCGGAACGGUCAACUGAUACUGUUUUGCUAGAGUACAGAAGGGGCAAUCGGAAUUCUUGGUGUAGCGGUGAAAUGCGUAGAUAUCAAGAGGAACACCUGAGGUGAAGACGGGUUGCUGGGCUGAUACUGACGCUAAGGCGCGAAAGCUAGGGUAGCAAACGGG
rnacentral:rRNA from 1 species